UACGGGGGGAGCAAGCGUUGUUCGGAUUUACUGGGCGUAAAGGGCGCGUAGGCGGCCUCCGCAAGUCGACUGUGAAAUCUCUGGGCUUAACCCAGAACGGUCAGCCGAUACUGCGGGGCUAGAGUGCAGAAGGGGCAACUGGAAUUCUCGGUGUAGCGGUGAAAUGCGUAGAUAUCGAGAGGAACACCUGCGGCGAAGGCGGGUUGCUGGGCUGACACUGACGCUGAAGCGCGAAAGCUAGGGGAGCGAACGGG
rnacentral:rRNA from 1 species